rnacentral:rRNA from 1 species
UAGGGAAUCUUCCGCAAUGGACGCAAGUCUGACGGAGCAACGCCGCGUGAGUGAAGAAGGAUUUCGGUUCGUAAAACUCUGCUGUUAGAGAAGAACAGCGCAUAGAGUAACUGUUAUGCGUGUGACGGUAUCUAACCAGAAAGCCACGGCUAACUACGUGCCAGCAGCCGCGGUAAUACGUAGGUGGCAAGCGUUGUCCGGAUUUAUUGGGCGUAAAGCGAGCGCAGGCGGUCAAUUAAGUCUGAUGUGAAAGCCCCCGGCUCAACCGGGGAGGGUCAUUGGAAACUGGUUGACUUGAGUGCAGAAGAGGAGAGUGGAAUUCCAUGUGUAGCGGUGAAAUGCGUAGAUAUAUGGAGGAACACCAGUGGCGAAGGCGACUCUCUGGUCUGUAACUGACGCUGAGGCUCGAAAGCGUGGGUAGCAAACAGG